GGUCCCGUAGUGGAGUGGUUUAACACGCCUGCCUGUCACGCAGGAGAUCGCGGGUUCGAUUCCCGUCGGGACCGCCA
rnacentral:tRNA from 1 species